rnacentral:rRNA from 1 species
CGGCGUGGAUUAGGCAUGCAAGUCGUGCGAGAAAGGGGCUUCGGCCCUGAGUACAGCGGCGAACGGGUGAGUAUCGCGUGGGAAACCUGCCUUCGAGUGGGGGAUAACACUCCUAACGGGGUGCUAAUACCGCAUGACACCCUCGGAUCGCAUGGUCCGAGUGUCAAAGGUGGCCUCUACUUGUAAGCUACCGCUUGAAGAUGGUCCCGCGUCCGAUUAGCUAGUUGGCGGGGUAACGGCCCACCAAGGCGACGAUCGGUAGCUGGUCUGAGAGGAUGGUCAGCCACACUGGGACUGAGAUACGGCCCAGACUCCUACGGGAGGCAGCAGUCGAGAGGCUUCGGCAAUGGGGGAAACCCUGACCGAGCGACGCCGCGUGAGGGAUGAAGCUCUUCGGGGUGUAAACCUCUUUUCUGGGGGAAGAAACCUAUGGGGUCGAAUAGGCCUCAUGGCUGACGGUACCCCAGGAAUAAGCUCCGGCUAACUCCGUGCCAGCAGCCGCGGUAAUACGGGGGGAGCAAACGUUGUUCGGAAUCACUGGGCGUAAAGGGCGCGUAGGCGGCCCGGUAAGUGGUGUGUGAAAUGCCCUGGCUCAACCAGGGAACUGCGCUCCAAACUGCCGGGCUUGAGGUCAGUAGAGGAAGCUGGAAUUCCAGGUGUAGCGGUGAAAUGC